GAUGAACGCUGGCGGCGUGCCUAAUACAUGCAAGUCGAGCGAACGGACGAGAAGCUUGCUUCUCUGAUGUUAGCGGCGGACGGGUGAGUAACACGUGGAUAACCUACCUAUAAGACUGGGAUAACUUCGGGAAACCGGAGCUAAUACCGGAUAAUAUUUUGAACCGCAUGGUUCAAAAGUGAAAGACGGUCUUGCUGUCACUUAUAGAUGGAUCCGCGCUGCAUUAGCUAGUUGGUAAGGUAACGGCUUACCAAGGCAACGAUGCAUAGCCGACCUGAGAGGGUGAUCGGCCACACUGGAACUGAGACACGGUUCAGACUCCUACGGGAGGCAGCAGUAGGGAAUCUUCCGCAAUGGGCGAAAGCCUGACGGAGCAACGCCGCGUGAGUGAUGAAGGUCUUCGGAUCGUAAAACUCUGUUAUUAGGGAAGAACAUAUGUGUAAGUAACUGUGCACAUCUUGACGGUACCUAAUCAGAAAGCCACGGCUAACUACGU
rnacentral:rRNA from 1 species